AGAACGAACGCUGGCGGCAGGCUUAACACAUGCAAGUCGAGCGCCCCGCAAGGGGGAGCGGCAGACGGGUGAGUAACGCGUGGGAAUCUACCCAUCACUACGGAACAACUCCGGGAAACUGGAGCUAAUACCGUAUACGUCCUUCGGGAGAAAGAUUUAUCGGUGAUGGAUGAGCCGCGUUGGAUUAGCUAGUUGGUGGGGUAAUGGCCUACCAAGGCGACGAUCCAUAGCUGGUCUGAGAGGAUGAUCAGCCACAUUGGGACUGAGACACGGCCCAAACUCCUACGGGAGGCAGCAGUGGGGAAUAUUGGACAAUGGGCGAAAGCCUGAUCCAGCCAUGCCGCGUGAGUGAUGAAGGCCCUAGGGUUGUAAAGCUCUUUCAACGGUGAAGAUAAUGAACGGUAACGAGAAGAAGCCCGGCUAACUUCGUGCCAGCACGCCGC
rnacentral:rRNA from 1 species